rnacentral:lncRNA from 1 species
GAUCCAAAUAAUAGACACUAAAAUCUAAUGACCACAGUUAUAAUCAACACUCAAUCAUAAAUACAAAUAUUACACACAUAAUGCAAAAAAGAAAUAUUACAUCAACAAAGGAAUAAAUUUGCAUCAAUGUAACACUAAAAUUACAAUGAACAAACCACCGUAAAUAUAGAAAUAUAGCACUGUAAAUACUUUACAAGGAGAAUAUAAACACAUGAAAUUGAAGACCUGUUAUCUGAAUCCACGAGGAAAAAAAUAACAGCCUAGGCAUGGGUGCCUACUUGAGGUGCUUCAACAUCUCCUGGAAGAACUGCAUGUGCAUGUUGUGGUCACACCAGAGCACAGAUGUCUUCUCUCAGCGAAUCAAACAUUGAGUCCCUCGCAACAACAAAGGUACCAAAUGAUGAGCAAUCAGGGAUGUACACUUUGCAGCAGCAGUCAGAAUCACAUAAGAAACUAUGAAUUGAAAAAAAAUGACCCU